UACGAAGGGGCAAGCGUUGUUCGGAAUCACUGGGCGUAAAGAGUUCGUAGGCGGUCUUGCCAGUCAGAGGUGAAAGCCCAGGGCUCAACCUUGGAACUGCCUUUGAUACUGCAAGACUAGAAUCCGUGAGAGGGUGGUGGAAUUCCCAGUGUAGAGGUGAAAUUCGUAGAUAUUGGGAGGAACACCAGUGGCGAAGGCGGCCACCUGGCGCGGUAUUGACGCUGAGGACGAAAGCGUGGGGAGCAAACAGG
rnacentral:rRNA from 1 species